UCAUUACAGAAUAUGUUCUGUUAACAAAUAUGGUAAAAUUUUAACUGCUUCCAAAUUUAAUUCAGUUUUGAUAAAAUGCUCUAAUCACAUGCAAUUUUCUGAUCUUUUUGCAGCCAAAACAUCGGCCAUAGUUCAAACUACCAUUGCCAACGUUUUGCCAAUAUUGCUACUUCUAUGGUCCUUACAGCAUGUAUGAGCCGCUUGACAGAUAGCAAGUCAUCUACAUCAUGUUCACUUUCUUAUUUUGCAGCCCUUUCUUCCUCGGAUUAAAACAAUAAAUAUAGUUAUUGUCUGUAUUUAUUAUGGACACAAUAAAUAUAAAUUUAUCGUUGAUUGGACAAACAGUUUUUAUUUAUUUUGAAGUUUCUCUAUGAGAAUCGUUGUUUUCACUUCUGGUAGUUUUAUUUUGAUGAGGAUGAUUGUUGUAAGCAUUGUAUUGUAGCAUUUCUGAGUUAUUAUAUUGUGUUUGAAUCAAGGAUCUCUUGUUUAUUUCCUUUAUGAAAUUAUACCUCUUGUGAUGGGAAGAAUUGUAUGACAA
rnacentral:lncRNA from 1 species